UCUAGAACUCGAGAUAUAGUCUAAACACUGAACAGUGUCUGGGCUGCAGGACAGAUUCUGACUUCUCCGUUGUUGCUAAGAUUUGGACUUCCAAAUAGCAGAAUUGAGUCUUGGACUCCUCAUGAAUGUUUUAGGCCUAUGUAUGUUUAGCCAUAUAAA
rnacentral:pre_miRNA from 1 species